GCGAGGACGACGUCUGCCCGCCAUGAGGACGCCGCUGCUGCUCGCCUUCUACGCGGCACUCUGGGUCAGCUGUGAGUGUGUGCAUCCUGACUCCAUAACCUUGUUUGGGACGGGCACGCAGCUCAUGGUGGCAGGCCAUCAACAGCCCACCCUCCUGAUUUUCCAGCCCUCGGCCGAGGAGAUGACCACCCGCGGAACGGCCACCCUGCUGUGUGUGGUCAGCGACCUGCCAACACCUUUUGCCCCAGUGAGCUGGACGGCCGAAGGCUGCAGCCCGAGCCUCGUGGGGAGAAGCAGCGCCCCCGUCAGACAACCCGACGGCACCUUCGCCAUGAGCAGCAGCCUCACCGUGCCGGCCGCCCACUGGAGGGAGGGCUGCGUCUUCGCCUGCACCGUCCAGCAGGGAGAGCGGAGGGUCCAAGUCCGCCUGCGCCGGUCCGAGUGCUGGGUGUCCGUCCAGAAAGAAAAGUGAGGUCUUUAUAUAGCGCCUUUCACAACCCUACGAGCACUCUGGGCAGCUGCCUUCAAAGGCGCUUUGACCGGCGCUAUAGCGCCUUGCAGCUCCACAGGAAGCACCUGCCGACUCGCCCGCUUUGACCCCCUACUGGAGGCACAUGUGAACUGCACCCGAUACCACCUGCCAUUCACGGAGGUCGCUUCUCUAUCUUUGAUAGACAGAUACGAUAUUUUAUUAAUCCCAAGGGGAAAUCCACAUAACCAGCAGCA